rnacentral:rRNA from 1 species
CCUACGGGUGGCAGCAGUGGGGAAUAUUGCACAAUGGGCGAAAGCCUGAUGCAGCGACGCCGCGUGAGCGAAGAAGGCCUUCGGGUCGUAAAGCUCUGUCCUAUGGGAAGAUAAUGACGGUACCAUAGGAGGAAGCCCCGGCUAACUACGUGCCAGCAGCCGCGGUAAUACGUAGGGGGCGAGCGUUGUCCGGAAUGACUGGGCGUAAAGGGUGCGUAGGCGGCCAGGUAAGUCAGAUGUGAAAGGCAUAGGCUCAACCUAUGUAAGCAUUUGAAACUGUCUUACUAGAGUGCAGGAGAGGAAAGCGGAAUUCCUAGUGUAGCGGUGAAAUGCGUAGAUAUUAGGAAGAACACCAGUGGCGAAGGCGGCUUUCUGGACUGUAACUGACGCUGAGGCACGAAAGCGUGGGGAGCGAACAGGAUUAGAUACCCGGGUAGUC